rnacentral:rRNA from 1 species
CAAAACAUAGCUAACUGCCAUAAUAAGAGUUAAUUAUAGUAUAGUUAGUGAAGCCUGCCCGCUGAUACUUUUCAAAUUUGAUUAGAAAGUAUUGAAGGGCCGCGGUAACUCUGACCGUGCUAAGGUAGCAUAAUCAAUCGUCACUUAAUUGGUGACUAGAAUGAAAGGCUAAACGAGCAUUCCUCUGUCUUAAAUUUAAACUUAGUGAAAUUAAACUACCCGUUAAGAUUCGGGUAUUUCUUGAUUAGACGAGAAGACCCCGUUGAGCUUUACCUAAGCUUUUUAUUUAAAUGGUUCUCCUUGAUAAGAAAACAAUUUAACUUAGAAGAGCGACAGGUUUGGUUGGGGCGACCGCCCAAAUAAAAGAAACUUGGGUAAACAAGGGUUAAACCUAUAAUAGAUACAGCUUUAUUAAUAGACAGACAUGUUAAUUAAAAAGGACUUCUCCUUUGCUAUAGUGACCCGUUACUAAUUGGUAGCGAAUCUGAAUAAAAGUUACCG